rnacentral:lncRNA from 1 species
AAAGAUGGGAGCACAGGGAGGUGUUUCUCAUUAAAUGGAGCUGCCCUUAAUUUUUUUUUCUAAUAACCAAGAAAGAAGGUAUCAUUUUACUGUACUUGGCUCCACAGAAGCAGAACAAAUACACGAAAACCAACAGAAGCUUUAGUUUUACUACUUAGGAUGUGUAUGGGAGCUGUUGAAUCACAGCCUGAACCACUGAUUGAUCACCUGAGGCAAGCACUGAGUCAGCCAUGGGAGCACAGGUGAAGGCAAUUCACCUGUGUGACCAGAAGGGGUGGAGCCUGGCUGCACCUCUCCUAGACCCCAUUUAAGGGCUGACUGCCGCUGGUGAAGGAUAUCUUUUUGGAGCUUGCUCCCUUUGGAGUUUUUCUGUGAGCCUCUGAUAUGGGUGAGCAUUUAUUUUUGAUUUUUCCUUUCUACUGCGAUAAUCUUUCUAGUUACACAUCCUGUAAAAUACCAGCUUAACCACACCACUCUGCUAAUUGUAUAUUUGUUCAUUUGUUCAUAUCAGGACAGGUUUUACUUUUAGGCGUUAACUGUCUUUCUUAUGAUUGCAAGAGUGCGGCUCAGUUGUGUGCUUUGUCUCUCUUCUGUUAACUUGAAAGGCCAACUUAGCAUCUGUUAUGUCUACUCUAAGGAUGGUUUAGUAUACUGUCUGUAGCAGAAAUAUUAAAUCAUGGCCUAAAGCAGUGACUAAGCACCUGGUGGAAAGGCAGGGCCAACCCAGGGGAGCUCAGGUGCAAACAAUGCCUCUGAGGGCCUGGAAGGAGUAGAGCCAGGAUCCAUCCCUUUCCAGACCUCAUUUAAGGGUUGGUAGUGGAGGUAAGGGUCUGUCGCUAGAGAUCUCUGCAUACCUGAGGUCUUCUGAGGGUAAGCAGCUUUUUUCCUUUGUUUCUGUGCCCAUGGCUGUUGCAUUUGAGCAAGUCUUUUUGUACUGCAGGCUAGGCUUUUGCUACUCUGCUGCCACUGUUGUGCCUUCCUUCACGUUACAAUAUUACAAACUACUGUAGCACUUCCUUUUUUUUUAUUAAAUAAAAGAAAGAUUUAUUGUCAUAGAAACAGCUAUUUUUCCUUGUUUAAAAAAAAAGGAAGGAAAAGUAUGCUCAUAGCUCUGCUGAAUAAAUCUGUUUUAUCGUAAAUGGAUGCGGUGUUUCUCAUGGAAUUGUUAAGAAAUUACCUUUGUAAUCCCUUUUACAUUAAAGAGAAUUUGCUGCCUUUUAUAUUUCUAACUUUGAAGCCUUAGAUACAAAGAAUUCUUUUGCUUUCUCUACAGGGAUCAGAAUUCUAUCCCAUACGAUGAAAUGUGACUGGAGUUGACUGUAUUUACUGUGGAAAAAGUAAAAUCAUUUUAGAAAUGCAUUUAAGUGGAAGAUGUUAUCUCCUUUGGCAUGUCUGCAUCACACACACAGGGGUGUGUAAGGUUCUAGGUGUACUGGAAGCAUCACUGUGCUUUGUUGAAGAGAAGAAAAAAGACUGGGGAGAAGGGAUUCCAUCGUCUCUUGAAGUUCAUAUUUGGUAGAGUUCUCCCUAGCAGAAGGCCUGUACAGUGCCUAGGUAACACAUGGAGUCAAAACAGGAAGAGAGGGAGGCAGAGCAGUACAUGAAUGUCGCUUAACCCCUAUGAAUCAGAAAGUAAAAGUAUUUUGUGAAUUUGAACUUAUUCUGUGUGUGAGUGUCUUGGAACAGUGUCAAAUAACUCUCUUUUUCAGGCAGCAAUUGUUAGUGUUGUCAGUGCCCUGCAGUAUCUUGUCUGUAAGCUUUUCUGAUCUAUUUGUGUGACUAUAGACCAGUUGGACUAAGAUUGUGUCCUUUGAGCUGGGAUCUGUCUACUUCAGCACUUCUCUUUAAAUCAGGAGCAGGCUUUGGAAGCCAAAUUCAUGGCCAUUUGUCCCUGUGGUGUUUUGGUUUACACGAUGAAGCAAGUCUCAGAAGACAAGUGAAAGUAAACUGUGUCCCAGAAGCACACCUAACAUGCUCCAGUGGGUGUGCAGUCCACACUGGAGUUGGUUGGAAGUAAUUCACCCUAUUAUCAGCUGCUUGAGACAUAGCUUCUGUUCUGUUGACCUCUUUCUCUUGUACUGCACUAAUUGUUACUGGAGAUGAACAUACUGUCUGAUCACAAUCUUUUUAAUGUGUUUAUUCAAAUCUGUUCUUAUAUCUUCCUUCUGGAAUUAAUUACUGUUCAGUAACAAACUGAUUGGUGAGAAACAGGAUGAGGCAGAUGGUGGCCAGCCAGUAUGCUUUAGUAUGAUGCCCUUCUCACCCUCACAGUGACAGUAUUGUGGCUCACUCAUUAGGAGCGAUUUUCAGUGUAGUUAACUGUUCUGUUUCUGUUGACUCUUGAUAUAAAAGUACAUUGACAUCUAAUACCUGGAAAACAAGCGAAAAUGUGAUAGUGUGACAAGGAGGUCUGUGGCUUACAGAUCUUCCUGUCUAUCUAUGUUUGACUACAUCAGUACAUUUUCUAGAGGAGAUAAUUUUUUUGUCAAUGCCUUAAAGUACAUUGCAUUUUUUUCUUCUUUUGUGUAGUGAAUUUUUGUGUUCUUUUUGGGAAGAGCAAAUAAAAAAGGUAUUGAAAAUGCAAGCACACAGUGUCUCCAAGUAAUCUCGGUCUCUUACACCUUGUGCCAGCUCAAUGUUUUGGGUAUGUUUUGGCUAGUUCAGGAAAGCACAUAUAUUUCAGUAUGGGCUUAGAAGCCUCUUGCAGGUCCAUCCUGCAAUAGUAGGCACCUCCCCUGUCAUUGUGUGAAUACCUUAGGAAAAAGAUGUUUGUGCAGAUGGAACUUCCGAUCUUCAGGAUAAAACAAGUUCUUAAGACAACAUCAAAGAUGAAAGAUCUAAAUAGCAGUUUUACUGCCUAUGUGAAUUUGUGAUCUCUGCUAAAACUAUAACUUGCCCUCAAUUUUCUUGUUCUUUUUUUUUCUCCUUGACCAUGGCUUUCAAGAGCACCGAGUGUUUAAUUUUAUCUGUCUGAUAAACUUCAGAUGAUUCAAUAGAUACAAGCUGACUGUAAGCAAUCUCUUUUGUACAGAAGGUUCUCUGUCCUGAGAUAGAGCUGGGCCUGGAUUGUUCCUGCCUUUAAGUGAUGUCCAUAUGAUAACCUUGGGAAGAUUUCUGAGAGGAUACUGGUUCUGAGGUAUUUAGUUUGUCCUUCAGCUCACUGUUGCCUUCACAUUUGACUCUAGCAGUUUUGUGGAACAAACAAUUCAGAAAUACUUAAGGGUUGUCAACAUUAAGUUGUGCAAGGGAGAUGUAAGUGGAUUACAGAAAGCAGCUGUGAAAAUUACCAAAGUUUGUGUUUUCCCCCUUAGUGGGGAAUAUUCUUGAAAACUACAGCUAUGUGGGGAUACUUUGGACUGCUUGUGAACAGAUAUUUCGCAAGUUUUUGUGUUCAGAUCUGUUCUAGAUUGGUGUUAUUGGUUCAUCUAUUUUGUGGUGCUUUCAGCUGCUUUCAACCUAUUACUGAAAGACUGGCUUUCUGCACAAGCUCCACUGUUACUGGUACAGUCAGGAGAUGUGUUUGAAGUGAUGCACAUUCCCCUGGAACUGCCCUGGAUAGCUGAUUUCUCAAGUGGGUUCUCUUCUUUGGAACUCAGGUGCAGAACCUGCCCUACUGUCUGCCUAGUGUGGCUUUACAGGCAUCUGAAUGUUGAGGUAAGGCGAUUCUUUCCUCCCAGAGCUUGGUAAAGGUAGGUUGUAAGGAAAUCGGGUUGUUUUUUCUUUUGUUUUCUCAAGAUCUCAAUCUUUUGUGUAUAUGAGAAAGAAAAAGAAGACUGGCUCUUCUUUUAAUGUGUGAAUGGGAACAAAGAGUGAAUUUUGAUAGCAGUUUGCACACAUCUGCUCUAAAUAAUUGAUACUUUAUGAAUCAAUGUAUGACAUGAAAGUCUUCCAGCAGCAAAUCAUGUGUCAAAUUUAAGUAUAAACCCUUCAGGAAUUAUAUGUAUGCACUUGUCUUACAUAUCCACUCAGACUCUGAUGAAGGACAGUUAAGAUGGAUGGGUCACAUUCCCUGGCACGUUUGUUAUUCUUCUUCCAAGGACGACAAGCUAACACAUGAGAGAAAACAAACAUAUAUCCAGCAUAAGGCAUUAAUCAGUAGCAGUCUAAGGCAAAAAAAAAAAAAAUGUAAUGCACUACAGAUCAUGUGGAGAGGAAAAAAAUGAGGACCAGUACUUGCAAAAAAGACUCGAAUACUUAUUAAAAAACAAAACAAAAGAAUAUAUCCUCUGGAAUAGCAAAAACAGAACAGUAUAUGUGAAGGAAAUGAUUUUACAUGAAUUCAUGACUUAAGAUCUAAGCUGAAAGCCUUGCAGGAAAGUAUGAAGUUUGUGCAUUUUUACAUGUUUAUUUUGUAGUGGUCUUGGUCUGAAAAAAAGAAAAUAGAGGUAUUUUCUCUGGGAGCAGUUCUAACUCUAACCGUAGAGUGGCAGUGCAGAAUUCCUUCUCUGAAGUUCUGGAGCUCAGCCAAACGAGUUGCAGCCUACGCAAUCCAUUACUCUGAUUGGCAUACCCAGAAAUCUUGCCACAGGUUGACGUUGACGUUCCUGCAGACAAUGUGUUUAACUAGGUGACUUUCCAUUGUGGCGGAGCAGUUCUGGAAGCAGAGUAUAUACUUAUCUGAUUUUUCCACUUUAAAAUGUCGUUGCCUAUUUUGGGCUCCAAAUAUCUUAAAUGAACAAUUUCAAGAUUUUCUUAUCUUUAAGACCCUUUGCAAACAAUGCUGAAAAAAUGAUAGCUUUAUUUAAUGAAACAACGACCUGCAACUCUUUUAAAUUCACACGGAAUGUUUUCUCAUUUCUUUUGGAUUUACUGUUAGAUUCUAAACAUCUACUCAAUUCUAUUUCAGGACAGAACUACAGCUUAAACAGUCUUAUUUCAGGCAUUUUUGCUGUAUUGGAUGAAAUUUAACUUACAAAAAAUGUCUGUGCAUCUCUAUGCUUGAUUUCUCUGCUUCACCUGUGAUGCUGGCUGUACUUGAACCUCCUUCCAUUUCUGUGUCACGACCCAGUGAGAUGUGUACUUGCAUUCAAAUCAGAUUGCAAAGAGAAGAAGAGAAACACAUGAAUAAAAGUUCAAAAGUGCUACAGGAAAAUAUCCAGGUCAGAUAACUAAUACAAUAUAUCAAACUUCAGUGGUAACUUACUUUGUCGUGCAUUCCUUUUUCACUUGCCUUUGCUUAUUUAAGUUGUUAACUCUCUAGAAAACAGGUUAGUCUGGUUUGUUUUUCAGUAAAACCUUUGGCAUCCUAUGUGUAUAACAAAGUAAAAAAAAAAAAAGUAAUUAUGCCAUAGUAUACAUGAGACUUUAGCCUGUGACACUUGCAUCUUGGCUGUGAAGAAUUCCAUCCGUAAUGUGGUGUUGAACCACAAGCAUGCCUUAUGCUUUUAAAGCUCAGAACAGAAUAUAGCAAUCUGGGACCCCUGCAGACCACAGCUACAAUUUUAGUCGUGUAAUUCUAUAGUUUAGAUAUUCGCAGAGGUGAAUGUGCAGGCUUUAAUCUGAAAGUCUGUGUAUAUCUUAUUUAGUAUUUUUGAUUUCUAUUAAGUUCUAGGUGUUUUGUGAUAAAAUCUAAAGAAUUGUCCAGAACUGAAGACGUUAAAAUCCCCUAUUGACUUCUGCCUAUUUGAUUGCUUUAUGGAUGAGGUUCUGAACAGACAACAUGCAAUAUGAGAUCCAGCCAAAAAGAAGUGGUUGAGCAGUGGGUGUAUGCUACUUCCACACUUUUAUUUUUUGGUCAUUUGUUUUAUUUUUUUUCCCCCCUUCUCUCAUACAGUCUUUCUUUCGUCCCUCUUCUGGUCUGUUGUGUUUGCACUUGUUGUGCUGAGGGCCUAUAAACAUCAGAGAAAUGUUGGAAGGAGAAUAAGGGGUGUAUGAGAGUCAGAGGGGUGCUGGGCACAGGGGAGUCGGUGUGAGGUGAGCAGGUAAGAGUAGGAGGCACAGAAGGGAUGGUUAAUCACACCAGAGGGCUUUUGUUUGGGAUUUUUCCAGACUUUCUGCAGCACUUGAAAUUCAUUCCCUGCCUUAAUCCAAAGUAACUUUCAAGUAUAGACAGGCCUAACAGUAUAACAGUAACAUUUACUUAACUUUGGCAGAAGUUCUAGGUGCUCAAGGAAUGCAGGAUUGUUUUGUGAGGAAUGCAAAAUUUUAACCUCAUUAGUUGACAUUAAUGAGUUAUUUCCUAAGCAGCUUUAGAUGGCUUAAUUUUGUUAAUUGAACCUUCAUAUGAAAAAUUCUAUAGGGUCAUAAAAUUACCCAUAAGGAAGGAUUGGUUCUUACUAAUGUCUGGGAAUCACUUCUGUGAUCUUGAAAUAAUUUGAAAGGAAAAUAUUUUCAUACUAAGUUGCUUGUUUAUUGAAAUACCUGCUUAGAGUCUCCAAAUCAAUUGGAGAAUGGUUAUUUCACAGAGCUGUUAAGCUGUUAUACCCUCUUUCUUUUGGUGGCUGAAGUGCUCUAAAUAGGCAAGGGAUCACCAGAUGCUUACAUCCUGAAAUAUCUGCUUCAAGUACACUCCUGCUUGUGGCAGUGGAUUUGUAAUAAGGAUAUGUUCAUUAGUAGGAGGCACAUUCAAUACUGUACCAAUGAUGUAGUCCCUAGCUCAGAGUUUAAUCUCAAAGCCUCAAUCCAGAAUCAUUACAGAAGUCAGAGAUGAUUCUGAGUCCCUUGAAUUGUGGGAAUUACCCAGACAGUAAAGGUUCUUAGUAUGGCAAGGCUUUAACAACAAGCUAACUCCAGUUCUGUUGUUAAACUCCAUGGAUUAAACUCCAAUGCAUUAAAAAAUGUUAGUUUAUGUGAAAUUUGAUUUCUUAAGAAGUUGAACAGUGUGGCUUCAGUUAAAUAAACAAGCAUUGAUUGAUAAGUGUAUGCUCUUCAGCAGUGCCUGCUUAAAACGGUGUGCUGAAAGUUAUUUGCUGAAUCAGUGUUAAAUGUGAUAAACAUCUUGCACAGCUGAGCUCCUUGCUUGGUAAUCAGCGUGUUGUGCACUCGAAAACCUGGCUGGUGGCAAGGCUUCUGUUAACAAAGUAAUGUGGAUGUCUCUAUGUUGUAGCAGUGAGAUCUUUAGGCUUGAGUGACGAAGUCCAGCAUGUACCUAUGCAGUUUAGGAUUAUGAAGAUCCAAACAAAGUAAUAUGGAAUCACAUCCACAUUAAGGCCUGUCCCUAGAGAGGAUUAGUUACUUCAAACAGGAUGUCAUUUUAGGGUACUUCUGGUUUGUGUGAUGUGAACUCAUGUGACUCUUCAGAGUGGGUUAGAAUUUUAUGACAAUGUGAGGUUGUAAUUGAUGGUGGCCUUUAAUUUUUUUGAGUAGCACAUGUAGUUGCUAUUCAUACAAGUAUAUUCCUAAUGAAUUUUGAGUCUGCAUAGAUAAAAGCAUUUAGUAGUAAUGACUCAGAAUUGAUGCUGUCUCAAAAAUAAAAGACAUUGAAACUGCCAAGUGUUAACUUGGGGCACAGUCCUUAAGAUAAGGAUUGGCAUUUACUUGGGCUGAAUUCUGCAGCACUCUGUAAACCUCUCGCAAAAGCGAUCUGCCACGGCUUUCAUGUACCUUACUGAGGAUAAUCCAUUGCAUUGUUGGAUUUGGCUGGUGGCUGCUAAGUGGAAUAAUCCUGCUCUGGAAGAGUAGUGAACCACUAGAGCAGCAAAUACUGUAAGUAAAAAUAUGGAUUGCAUAUAUAUUUCUCCACAACUUAAUUCUUCUCAUAUUAACUGUAGGUUAACUUGAUUUUAAUAGGAAAUUAGGUGUCUCCUGUUUGUUCUUUCAUGAAGUAUUAUUAAAAAAAAAACACCAAAAACACAACAUUGCCAAAGCCACUAAAUCAUGAUGUUUCUCUGUCAGCCAAACCUUACACCUAGCUGUACUUGUAUGCAGUAACUUUUCAUUUCUUAAGUCACUGAACUUCAUAUACAUCAAUGAAUUACAGAGGAACUACUAAUCAAUGUUGAGCAUGGCUUGGAAAGUCCUGAAGUUUUUCAGACGUCAGUGAAGUGUAAAGCCUCAACUCCAUGGAUGCUCAGUACCCAACAAAGCGGCUCUAAGGGUGGGAAUCAGUUCUUACCUAAUAUCAGUGCAAAUGGUAAGAAUUUAGCUGUGCACAACAAAUUUGAUUUUACUAAGACUUGUACACACACUUCAUACACAUGAACAGCUUUGGCCACUCACUUGAAUAAAUGUUAUCUAAUUUAAUCUGUGCAGAAAUGAGACCUAAGUUAAAUAAUAUUUUAAAUAAGUCAUUGCUCUGCUUAAGUCUCAAUCCCAUUUUUGAUCAGCACGCUGGGAUUUCAGGUAGUGGAAGUAAAGUAGACAUAAUAUCUGCACUGAAAUGCAUGUGUUGCUUUUUGUGCUGCAAAAUAUUAAUUUCUUUACUGAAGGGACUUCCCCCACCUCCACGUCUCUUGUGCAGUUCUGUAUCUGACAUAUAGACUCGUAGUAAUAGAGGAUUAUGUCGUGCUCUGACACGCACAACUUAAAAAUAAAUCAAAAGUUGUGUAAGUGGGUUUAGGCUGCCAAAAAGCAGCCUGAACUUGUAUUUUGCUUGUUUCUUCAGGUUUUAUAAGGCUGCUUACUGAAAUUUUUCAGGCAAACCAAAUGCUUGUUAUGGCAACCUUUGGUUUACUUGCUGAAGGCCUCAGCUAAUGCCAACGUUUUGAGGCUUUGUCUCCAUGAGGUGCUCAGCAGUGGUGCCCAGCACCUGCCAGGACCAAACUGUUUGCAGAUCCCUGGCGGGCAUGGUGGGGCUCUGCAAGGUUCUUCCAAAGGGGAAGCGUAGAGUAGGUGGCCGUGGGCUAUUCUGGGCUGCAUACUGGCGUUUCAAGAGUGGGUAAGCUGCCUGAACUCUUGCAGCCUCUUAGUGAGGUCACACAGCACAGUAGCAAUCACCCCCAGUCUUCUGAAAGCAGACUGAACUGGUGGAAUUUUUAGAAGCUUCUUAAAUUCUUCUUUUAUUCGCCCGUUUCUGCCCGUUCUCACCGUGAGUGCGAG